rnacentral:rRNA from 1 species
GCAAGUCGAACGGUAACAUUUCUAGCUUGCUAGAAGAUGACGAGUGGCGGACGGGUGAGUAAUGCUUGGGAACUUGCCUUUGCGAGGGGGAUAACAGUUGGAAACGACUGCUAAUACCGCAUAAUGUCUACGGACCAAACGGGGCUUAGGCUCCGGCGCAAAGAGAGGCCCAAGUGAGAUUAGCUAGUUGGUAAGGUAAAGGCUUACCAAGGCAACGAUCUCUAGCUGUUCUGAGAGGAAGAUCAGCCACACUGGGACUGAGACACGGCCCAGACUCCUACGGGAGGCAGCAGUGGGGAAUAUUGCACAAUGGGGGAAACCCUGAUGCAGCCAUGCCGCGUGUGUGAAGAAGGCCUUCGGGUUGUAAAGCACUUUCAGUUGUGAGGAAAAGUUAGUAGUUAAUACCUGCUAGCCAUGACGUUAACAACAGAAGAAGCACCGGCUAACUCCGUGCCAGCAGCCGCGGUAAUACGGAGGGUGCGAGCGUUAAUCGGAAUUACUGGGCGUAAAGCGCACGCAGGCGGUUUGUUAAGCUAGAUGUGAAAGCCCCGGGCUUAACCUGGGAUGGUCAUUUA